rnacentral:rRNA from 1 species
AGUGAACGCUGGCGGUAGGCCUAACACAUGCAAGUCGAACGGCAGCACAGUAAGAGCUUGCUCUUACGGGUGGCGAGUGGCGGACGGGUGAGGAAUACAUCGGAAUCUACUUUUUCGUGGGGGAUAGCGUAGGGAAACUUACGCUAAUACCGCAUACGACCUACGGGUGAAAGCAGGGGAUCUUCGGACCUUGCGCGAUUGAAUGAGCCGAUGUCGGAUUAGCUAGUUGGCGGGGUAAAGGCCCACCAAGGCGACGAUCCGUAGCUGGUCUGAGAGGAUGAUCAGCCACACUGGAACUGAGACACGGUCCAGACUCCUACGGGAGGCAGCAGUGGGGAAUAUUGGACAAUGGGCGCAAGCCUGAUCCAGCCAUACCGCGUGGGUGAAGAAGGCCUUCGGGUUCUAAAGCCCUUUUGUUGGGAAAGAAAAGCAGCAGGUUAAUACCCCGCUGUUCUGACGGUACCCAAAGAAUAAGCACCGGCUAACUUCGUG